GAUGAAGAACGCAGCGAAAUGCGAUAAGUAAUGUGAAUUGCAGAAUUCAGUGAAUCAUCGAAUCUUUGAACGCACAUUGCGCCCCCUGGUAUUCCGGGGGGCAUGCCUGUUCGAGCGUCAUUAUAACCACUCAAGCUCUCGCUUGGUAUUGGGGUUCGCGGUUCCGCGGCCCCUAAAAUCAGUGGCGGUGCCUGUCGGCUCUACGCGUAGUAAUACUCCUCGCGAUUGAGUCCGGUAGGUCUACUUGCCAGCAACCCCCAAUUUUUACAGGUUGACCUCGGAUCAGGUAGGGAUACCCGCUGAACUUAAGCAUAUCAAUAAGCGGAGGA
rnacentral:misc_RNA from 1 species